CCUACGGGCGGCAGCAGUGGGGAAUCUUGGUCAAUGGACGAGAGUCUGAACCAGCCAAGUAGCGUGAAGGAUGACUGCCCUAUGGGUUGUAAACUUCUUUUAUAAAGGAAUAAAACGAGGCACGUAUGCCUUUUUGCAUGUACUUUAUGAAUAAGGAUCGGCUAACUCCGUGCCAGCAGCCGCGGUAAGACGGAGGAUCCGAGCGUUAUCCGGAUUUAUUGGGUUUAAAGGGAGCGUAGAUGGGCUGUUAAGUCAGUUGUGAAAGUUUGCGGCUCAACCGUAAAAUUGCAAUUGAUACUGGCAGUCUUGAGUACAGUUGAGGUAGGCAGAAUUCGUGGUGUAGCGGUGAAAUGCUUAGAUAUCACGAAGAACCCCGAUUGCGAAGGCAGCUUACUAAACUGUGACUGACAUUGAUGCUCGAAAGUGUGGGUAGCAAACAGGAUUAGAUACCCCUGUAGUC
rnacentral:rRNA from 1 species